rnacentral:rRNA from 1 species
UGGGGAAUAUUGGACAAUGGGGGGAACCCUGAUCCAGCCAUGCCGCGUGUGUGAAGAAGGCCUUAUGGUUGUAAAGCACUUUAAGCGAGGAGGAGGGUACUGGUAUUAAUACUACCAGGUACUGGACGUUACUCGCAGAAUAAGCACCGGCUAACUCUGUGCCAGCAGCCGCGGUAAUACAGAGGGUGCGAGCGUUAAUCGGAUUUACUGGGCGUAAAGCGUGCGUAGGCGGCUAAUUGAGUCGGAUGUGAAAUCCCCGAGCUUAACUUUGGAAUUGCAUUCGAUACUGGUUAGCUAGAGUGUGGGAGAGGAUGGUAGAAUUCCAGGUGUAGCGGAGAAAUGCGUAGAGAUCUGGAGGAAUACCGAUGGCGAAGGCAGCCAUCUGGCCUAACACUGACGCUGAGGUACGAAAGCAUGGGGAGCAAACAGG